rnacentral:rRNA from 1 species
GACGAACGCUGGCGGCGUGCUUAACACAUGCAAGUCGAACGGGCCUGUCUUCUUUUUUGGGGGUGGGUUGAGUGGCGAACGGGUGAGUAUCACGUGAGUAACCUGCCCUUCGGUCCUGGAUAACCGCUUGAAAGGGCGGCUAAUACGGGGUGGUCCGGUUGGUCCGCAUGGGCUGGUCGGGAUAGAUUCACUGUUUUUGGUGUUUCGGCGGGGGAUGGGCUCGCGGCCUAUCAGCUUGUUGGUGGGGUGAUGGCCUACCAAGGCGGUGACGGGUAGCCGGCCUGAGAGGGUGGGCGGCCACACUGGGACUGAGAUACGGCCCAGACUCCUGCGGGAGGAAGCAGUGGGGGGUAUUGCACAAUGGGCGGAAGCCUGAUGCAGCGACGUCGCGUGAGGGAGGGAGGCCUUCGGGUUGUGAACCUCUGUUUCCGGUGGUGAAGGCCCUGUCCGUGUGGUGGGGUUGACGGUAGCCGGGGAUGAAGCGCCGGCUAACUACGUG